AACUGAUACUACCUGCGGGAACCUGCGGAGGGAUCAUUACCAGUUGUGCCUCGCCGUCGAUGCCCUGACGUCUCCGCUCCCGUUUUCUCGGGUGGGUGCUUGAAAAAAGUACCCGUCCGGGGGGGCUGCCUCCCUUGGAAAAGGAAGAUUGGCGCCCUGACGAACGGUCGUAGCGUCUCGAGACGCGGGUUCCGGCUUGAAGUGCCUCCCACCCGUGAACACUGAACCUCAUGUUGCCUU
rnacentral:misc_RNA from 1 species